rnacentral:lncRNA from 1 species
GUGGCAUCUCCACGUAGCAAGCACCAAAGGAGGACUUGGAAGGUACCUCAUCCCCAGGGGCUUUUCCAGAUAUAUCCUAUCAUGCUAGGCGUACUAAAGGUGCUGGUAGAUGCUAAGGAGAAUGUUAAAGUGUACUUCUUGGUAACAUAAGUUUGCCUUCCAGUAGCUCUUUGCACCUGCAGUUUUAUUAAAAUGGUACCGGUGUUCACCUCAACACCUCGGCUGGGAAAUCUACAGUAGAGUCACCAUCUCUGUGAGCAGUGAGAUGUGCAGAGCUGGAAAGUCAGCAGAGGAAGAGAGCUGCUUUUGCCUGGCAUCUCCAGUCCUCCUCCCUCCUUCACCUGGAAGCUGGGAGUGCCAAUGUCGCUCUUGCACCCGCCCUACCUAAUGAGCUUGCCUGCAGAAGCAUCACCAGGCCCUCAGCACUGCAGAAGACACGAAUGGAGUCUGUACUCUUCUCACUGCCAGCUUGUGUGGAACAGCUUUGCUUCAUCAAGAUGGCUUUAGGAGCAACCCCAGCACAGUGCCUUUACAAAGGUUCCCUCAGUUCACAUAAUUACUGCUUUUGAAAAGAC